UGUGAUUUUAUACAUUUUGAAGACUUUGCAUAAGUAAAGUUUCUAGAAAUGUUAAAUUAAAAUCAAAGAAGGAAACAAUUCAAGUAAUUGAGUUGUUAUUACUUUGAAUAAAAUAAGGUGUUUAAAGCAAAACAUUAUGUUAAUGAAUAUUCAAGCAUGGGACAAUGCUGAGGGGAUGUCAAUAAGACAUUUCGAGAGAAGGAUUAAAAGGAACAAUUGGGGUGAUUCAGAAAAUAACGGGAGAGGUGAAAAUCCAUGAUCGCUAUAAGAUGCACGAGAGCGAAAGCAUUUCACUCAACUGUGUCCAUUAAUCAAGAACGAAAGUUAGGGGAUCGAAGACGAUCAGAUACCGUCGUAGUCCUAACUAUAAACGAUGUCAACCAAGGAUUGGAUGAAAUUCAGAUGUACAAAGAUGAAGAAGCAUUGUUUCUUAAUCUGAGUAUAUCAAUAUUACCUUGUUCAGAACUUAAAGAGAAAUCUUGAGUUUAUGGACUUCAGGGGGAGUAUGGUCACAAGGCUGAAACUUAAAGGAAUUGACGGAAGGGCACACCAGGAGUGGAGCCUGCGGCUUAAUUUGACUCAACACGGGAAAACUUACCAAGACCGAACAGUAGAAGGAAUGACAGAUUAAGAGUUCUUUCAUGAUUUAUUGGGUAGUGGUGCAUGGCCGUUCUUAGUUGGUGGAGUGAUUUGUCAGGUUAAUUC
rnacentral:rRNA from 1 species